AGUGAACGCUGGCGGCGUGCCUAAUACAUGCAAGUCGAACGGAGUGGCGCACGGGUGCGUAAUGUAUAGCUAAUCUGCCCUACACUAGAGGACAACAGUCUGAAACGACUGCUAAUACUCUAUAGUGUAGGAUGAGGCUAUAUUGUAUCAGCUAGUUGGUGAGGUAAUGUCUCACCAAGGCUAUGACGCAUAACUGGUCUGUGAGGAUGAUCAGUCACACUGGAACGGAGACAAGGUGCAGACACCUACGGGAGGAAGCAGUAGGGAAUAUUGAUCAAUGGAGGAAAGCCUGAAGCAGCAGCGCCGCGUGGAGGAUGACACUUAUCGGAGCGUAAACUACUUUUGUUAGGGAAGCGGUACAUAACGAAUAAGCACCGGCUAACUCCGUGCCAGCCGCCGCGGUAAUUC
rnacentral:rRNA from 1 species